GGACCCCACUGCUAUCGGGGUGGGACUAAGACAUGCGAGUCGUACGCCUCCCAGCCGCCGGGGAAGGCGUGGCGGACGGCUCCGUAACACGUGGCUAACCUGCCCUUGGGACGGGGAUAACCCCGGGAAACUGGGGCUAAUCCCCGAUAGGUGAGGAUGCCUGGAAUGGUUCCUCACCGAAAGGGCGCCGGAACCGUGCUUCCGGCGUCGCCCAAGGAUGGGGCCGCGGCCGAUCAGGUUGUUGGUGAGGUAACGGCUCACCAAGCCUUUGACCGGUGCGGGCCGUGAGAGCGGGAGCCCGGAGAUGGGCACUGAGACAAGGGCCCAGGCCCUACGGGGCGCAGCAGUCGCGAAACCUCCGCAAUACACGAAAGUGUGACGGGGCCAUCCCGAGUGCCGUCCGCUGAGGACGGCUUUUCCCCAGUGUACACAGCUGGGGGAAUAAGGAGAGGGCAAGCCUGGUGUCAGCCGCCGCGGUAAUACCAGCUCUCCGAGUGGUGGGGACGCUUAUUGGGCCUAAAGCAUCCGUAGCCGGCUGGGCAAGUCCUCCGUUAAAUCCAACGAUUCAAUCGUUGGACUGCGGGGGAUACUGUCCAGCUUGGGGGCGGGAGAGGCCGACGGUAUUCCCGGGGUAGGGGUGAAAUCCUAUAAUCCCGGGAGGACCACCAGUGGCGAAGGCGGCCGGCUGGAACGCGCCCGACGGUG
rnacentral:rRNA from 1 species